rnacentral:rRNA from 1 species
AUGAGGCAGCGGUGCGGUGGCAGCUGCUCGCUGGUCUUGGCGCGGGUUGCCAUGGCCAUGGCCGUGGUCGGUGGAGGAAGGCAAGGCGGAGCGGCGACCAAGGGGCAGCGCUCGGCGGCGUUCGAGGGAGGAGCUGGCGAUGGGGGGUUGCGUGGGAUCGGGAGGAAGGGGUCUAGGGGGCUCGCGACAUAA